ensembl:lncRNA
UGACAAUUGUACAUAAUCAAGUACAUUAAGUGAUGGUAAGCGUCAUUAAACAGGGACAGAUCAGCACAGCAUACAAAGACAUACACGUUUAGUAUGUAGUUUAAAAUUUUAUUGUAAAAUUGAAAAAAAGAGAAAGAGAAAAGCCCAUUAUGCAUUUCCUUUUGAUGUCUUUUUUUUUUUUAAUGUAAUCCUUAAAUAAAGCAAUUCAUGAUCACACAAAUGAACUCCUAAAUAAAUAAAUAAAUAAAUAAAUAAAUAAAUAAAUAAAUUAUUGACAGAAUACUAUAUAAUUUGUUUGGCAUGACAAUAAAUCUUUGCAAAUACCUGAAAAAAGUCAACACUGGAAUGUUUGGCUUCUCAGGAGAAGACCAAACUACAUCAGCUCUGCAUCGUAAAAAAUAAUUACUGCACUGCGUCUCAUUUUAGAAUUUUGAGCAGAACAUGAACUUUACUCUUCUUGUUACCUGAAAAAUAGGAGGAGAAAAAAGCAACAACAAAAAAAAAAAGCACAAAAAAACAUAAAGAAAUAAAAAGCGACUGUAAACAGCAUUGUCUCAUCCGGGCUGUAACCAGACUUCCUGCUUCACCCAUCACACACGUCCACGUGCUUUUCAGCAAAUCCAGUAUACAGUAUAUAGACUUCCACAGGUUUUGUGCUGAGAAACCAGAAGUUAAAGACGGUCUUAUAAAGCAGAAAACCCACAACCCCACCCUCCCCUCUUCGCCCAGCAGAGACCCCCUGAAAGGUUCCUGUGCUCAUGUUCCCUAAUAUACACAUUUUAGAUCUAUAAUAAGCUACUUUCCUUAGCAUACAAACCAUAGGUAAUUAAUUAAAGAAUCAUAUUGUUAAUACGAGUAGUACCAUUAAUAUACUUUAUGCCCCGCUGUACCCGCCCACCCACCACCGUGUCUGAACAUGCUCAAACAUCACACUGGGCUUCAUGGUGUGAGAAAACUCAACUCUGAACAUGAAUACAGCUGGAAUGAAAACACAAAUGAGAAAUGCUGGUGAUUUGGAGCACUAGUAACUUUAAGCAGUACAACAGAGCCUGUGCAGCCCUUUUUUUUCUUUUCUUUUUUUUUUUAAGAGCAAAACAUGAUAAGCUUAACUCACACUAACACACACAUCCUUGAUCACCCCCAUGUUUACUCCAUUUUAUUGGUUUUUCUCAUCUUUUUUCCCAUCUCGCUGUAAUGAUAUCAUGUCUCAAACUUAUUAAACUUCAGGCGUGAGUUGCCAUUUUUAAUUUGCAUUAGGGCCUGCUGUUAUGUGAGGGCCAAAUUUAAUUUGAUUUUAAUAAUUCACGUGUCUGGAAUGUUGAGAUUCGGAGAGGACGCAUGGUUAUUAGAGCACGGAUGCCAGAGGGCUGCAUAUGUGUACAGUAUAUUACCAUGUUGUCAUUCAUUAUCGGCGGAAAAGCAGAGACGAGGUGAACAGAGGUCCGGAGGAAAACAAUCAUGGUACCAUGUUCUAUACCGAGUUUCCAAUUUCAAUAUAAAACAUAGCGACCCAUCCAUAGGGGCAGGUUAGGCAGACCUCCACUAUAUCAACCGUUUAACAAAUCAUAAUUUAAUCUUUUUCAAUUUUUCAAUCACAACUCCAUACAUUUUAAAUUACGUUGAAAUACUAAUGACCUCUUUUGAGUGACCAAUGAUUUAAAAACAUGUUGCUCUUUCUGAUAUUUCUAGCUGUUGCGCAAUUCCAUAGAGUUUUUAUUGCACCUACUGGUCAAAAACAAAUGCUAAUAGAGGUCCAAUGUGUAAAGAAUCACUCUAAAUCUUGCUUGCUUUAUGGGAAUAGGAGCAGUGGACAAAUCAGCUUGCCAAAUUGGGCUAGUUUAAAAAUAUUCUGUGGCUGCUGUGAUAUCAAAUAAUCCGAAUUAAAUCGAAUAAAUUUCCGCAAACAAAAGUGAAGAUGUACGGUACCGUUGAUGAUGUACGGUACCGUUUCUUUCUAUUGUAAGAUAUAUUGCAAAGAUUGGGAGAGGGGAAGGGGGAUUAUGGGAUAUGGGACAUCAUGAGGAUAAUGGGUGUGACUCGAUCAGCUCCCUAGUUCGUGAAUCAGUAUAUUGUGUACAGGAGUUUGGGCACUGGUAAGGAUCCUGGCUCCCUACACUCUGGGACAUUGAUAACUCAAUUUUCAGUAACAUGAGUACAUACUCACGUUGUAAAACGUCACCAAAAAUAAAAACUUCAAAAUAUUUGUUUUAUGUGUUGUAUAAAUUUGUUAGCUUAAUCACACGGCUUUCUGUCAUUGUAAGUCAAGCAGGAUCGUACACUACCUAGCAGGUUUUCUGUUUAAAUCAUUAAACGCUUAAAAGUCCUGCAACUCAAACCGUAUAUAGAACGUCAAAUAAAGUUCAAAAUCGCUAAUGUAAGUAGUCAUUUGAGAGCUACAACAACAAUAACAAGCUACUUACAUUUGUAGCCAGAAGAUAGCUAAGAGUUUGUCUGCCCUUUUUUUUUUCCGAGCUAAAAGGCUUCAGAGAAUAUGACGUCACUGUAGUAAGGGAACAUAGUGAACUUCAAGGAAUUUUUUUAAGGAACGAAUGUUCCAACUGUAUAUUGUCAACUCUCAACUGUCUAUUACUCUGAAAAUUCACUAGAUUAUAACCUAUAGCAGAAGUCAACUGUGACAGCCUCUCAACUUCAUUUUGUUAGAGGCUAUGUUAUUAAUGUUGUUCUGCGCCACCAAAAUCUAUGGUCACGAGCCGCUCCUGAUAGCAACAGAUUUCUGGGUUUGCCAAAAGGGUCAAAAUAUAGAAUUAAAUGAAAUGAAAAUGAAAUUUGAUUUUUUUUUUCUAUUGUUCUAAGUUGUUGCACCCUGUCACCUGCAUAAUGAUACUAUACAGUUCAAAAUCUCUAACCAUGAAGGUGAUAAUAUAUGAGUAAUUAUAAAUAGAUGACAUGAGACAUGAUAGAUGAUAAAAAAUAAAGCAAAACAUUUGCAAUUUGGAGUGAAUAAGAAAAAAAAUUUAAAAAAAUAUUUUUACAAAAACAACAACACCCUUUUCAGCUCUUUAUGAGGGACUCAGUGGACGUUCGCCAUGUUAUAGAGGAAUGCAGGUCCAUCCUCUGACCUUUUGUCAACAGCGUGUCUCUGUGUGUGCUUGUAUGUGUGUGUGCUUGUGUGUGUGUGUGUGUGUUUGUGUGCUAUUCAUCAGACAGAACACCAGCAGCUGCUGUAAGUACAUCGUGGCAUCGGUGUCUGUGCCAUUUAAACUGCCCUCACUGUGGCCUUACUAACAGCACUCAUUCUUCAGGCUCACUAAACUAUUUUUCACAGCUUUAAGAUGUGCCUCGUCACUAUCUUAAUUUUCCUAAUGACAUUUGUGACCUGUAUUAUUAAACACUGGUCUGGUCUGCAUCGAUAAAGCGAUCCCGCGGUGAGCUUGUCUCAAGCUUUUGUUAUAUAAAGUGUAAAAAAAAAAAAAAUGAACUCACUCAUGUGUAAUUGAUUGUGCAGAAGUGGCCCUGAGGCUGAGGCUGGCGGUUUGAUCAAUACGAACCGUAUGGUAACGAUGUGGGGUGUUGGGCCGUAGGUGCCAGGAUUACCAUAAUCCCUGUUAAAGGACCCUCGAGGCUUUAGAGUUAUAUAGGAAACUAUAAGGAGUAGGACAGAAUACUGUAAUAGUCGGCUAAGCUGGGAAGCUCAAGACGUUUUUUUGGCUAGGGUCGGUGUCAUUUGUCGAGAACUCAGAUUUCUGUAAUAUAAUGGCUUAGAUAAAUAAAAAAAAAGCUCAUGUUUACACAGUGUGCCUGCUGCUGAUGGAGAUGUUAAAGGGAAAGAAAAUGAACACAAUGUCAAAAGUUUGCUGGCCAUUCACUUCUGAUAAUUUUGACUAAUCUGUUAAUGAAGAUCUUUUGUUAUCUUAAAUGGUUUGGUUAUUGUUCAUUUUAGUUUCAAUGUAGUUAAAAAAACAGCUAUUUUAGUCAACAGAAAAGCAUCGAUAUCAUCUUUUAAACUAAUUCUCGUAAACUGCUUUUGCCUCAUCGGUAUCUUAUUUUUUUUUUAUUUUGAACCUGUGUUAUUUAACAGUGUUCUGGCCUGCAGGGCCAAUCAAUCACUGUUAUGUUCUUUUUAAAUAGCCAUAACAAAGCACAAAUGGGUAAUUAUAGUUUUAGAUGUUUUAAUUUCCUCUUAAAUGUAACACUAAAAUGUUUUACAAAUGCAUAUUACAGGCUUAGUAAAGCCUUUCAACUUUUCCAAUAGUGUUUGUUAAGUGAAAGCUCUGAAACGAUCAUAGAGCUAUGACUUAGUCUGUAACACACAGCGGGGAAGUAAAAAAGUACGUUACAAAUAAGUUAACUUCGGAUGUUUGUGGGGUGUCUUCAGGUAUGCUAGUUCUAGCUAGGGACAAACAAAGCAGCAUUUUCUCCCAAAAUAUCAUCAUGCUAAUGCAUGACAGCAUCCCUAUCUCCAUCUCAAGCCAGUUUAAUGUUAGCCUAAUGAUUUUACACCAAAUUAUGCUAGUUUUGAAACAGGUAAUGACCAGAAAAAAAGCAAGUCUGAAGGUGGGACUUGAUUUGGGGUUAUUUGUUUUGUUUUUUUUUUUUUUUUUAUUUUUUUUUUGGGGGGGGGGGGGGGGGGGGGGCUAGAUUAAAAUAUUAAAUUUCAAAUUGAAUCAAUGUCCAUGAAAAUAGACUGUGGCAAACAAAGCGAACGUGUACAUGCAGGCAAUACUUGUGUUGUAGUGGGAACUAUACACUAACACUAGUCUUAAAUGAGAAUCAAAGACUGAAAGAAAGUUGUGACAUUAAGAGGUUAUAAAGUAAAGGAUGGAUUUUUAAAAAAUAAAUUUUUCUUUCACAAUUACUUGCAGGGCUUUUUAGGACUGGAAGGACUGGAAAGAGCUUGUCUAGCUGAGUAGUUCUGACAUGUUAUCUUGUCAUUUUGUCCUAUAAUUUGAGUAAAAGGGUGAAUUAAUUUUUAAGGAGCAAGGAGUCUAAUGUUGGUGCAAAACUAAAGAUGCAAACUUCAGAAAUAAUACAAGUUCUGAAUGAUAGAUUAUGUUUGUGUAAUUGGGGAAAUUGUGUGCAUUUCAUAAUGCCUGAACUACUUACUUAACCGUGUUGCUGAUGCAUUUUAUCCUAUGUGGUUUGUCCAAAGAAAAUGUAGAUACUACUCACUAUUUUAAUGUCUGUUUACUUAUAUAUACUAUACUAUAACUAUUACUAUACUAUAACUAGUAUAGUAGUAUAACUAUUACUAUAACUUUUGGCCAGUUCAGUGAGUGUAAGUGUCAGUGAGUGUAAUUUCUCUGGCACAUGUGCUUAAAUUGAAUGUCUGAGUGAAUGUGAAGGUCAGACGUGGAGCUGAAAGGCAGUGGGUCAGUGCCACGCGUCCCAGAUAAAGAGUUUAAAUCCCUACUGAUGAAAUAUAACUGAACGCGCCCUUAACAAUCUCCCAUCCACAUAUACUACUCCUCUAAAAUAGUAUAGCUUUUAAAAUACUUUUUUUUCUUCUUCUUUUUUUCUAUUUUGUUUAAAUAUUCUGAAACCCAGUAGUUAUAAAUGUAAAAGGAAAAGAAAUCAAAAUCUCUUUCCUCUUCCAACCUGAAGCAAGUAUUUCAUCUUAAGAUUUUUUUUGUUGUUUUUUUUCAAACAUGUAACAUCAUUAAGUAGUAGUUUGUAGUAUUAGUAUCAUCAUUAAUACUAUAUAUUACUGUCGAACAAUAAAAAGGUUUUUGGUCCUUUGGUCCCUUGGAGUGAAAGAUUUUUCAGUUGCACUGUACCUCUGGAAACCUCCGUGACCACAGAAGGCCAAAAGUCUUGCGCUUGCUCAGAGACAUGAAGACAGUUGAAAGAGAACAACAGAGAAAGAGAAAGGUCUGCCAGUGGUUAAAAAGAGCAUUUUUUUUCCUCCACAGCCUUUUUCCUUGAUUUUCAAGUUUUAACCCUUAUUUGUCCAGUACCGUUAAAAGCUGGAAGCGCCUCUUCCAUAAUAUAGCACGUGUAUAUAAUAUGUAUAUAGAAAUCUAUGUUGUUCUUGCUGCUCUUUUUUUGUUUGUUGCGUAUUUGUCGACUCAGUCUUAGCGAGAGAAGUUCUGUAGCUUAAAAGUUCUUGUCUUUUGGGAUUUCCCACCAUGAUCCUGCUUUGACUUUCUCACUCUGUGCUGCUUGUAGUUUGUCUGUAGUGUGCCGCUCCUCCGGCAUCUCUCUCAGAUGAACGUCUUCAUAAGGAUAUGCUGAUAUGUCUUCGAAAAAAAAACCCUUUCAUCUUCUUUUUAUUUUUAUCUUGUUUUAUUUAUUUUUAAAGAAAAAAAAUCAAGCUCCUUUUGAGAUUUCACUUUUCAAAACCUAUAAAGGAUAUAUAAAAAAAAAACAGAUAACACUGAAUUUACUUCAAAAACAUCUUACUGAAAGUUACUGCUGAAAAAAAGGCUGAUUCAAGUUCUGUGUACAUUGUGUUCAUUCGUUUUUGCUUGUUUGUUCGUUCCUAAAUGAAAACAAAUGCACUCUCACACACAUACAUACAUAUAUAUAC